GCUGCGAGCGUGAGCUGCGCGCCGAGAGCGGAAGAGGAGACGCAGUUUGGCGGCUGUGGGGAUUUGCCGGAAGGUUAAUAAUGUCCAUGGGCACAUCGGCCUCCUCCUUUCUUAUUCUCUCCCAAGUGUAAUUCCAGGACGCCCCCUGAGCGCAGAUUCAUCCAGGCAUUUGGCCUAGAGGCCCGCGGAGGAGAAAUAAAGUACAGGCCUGGUAGGACCUUUGAGAACCUGGGCUUCAGCUACAAAACCAGAGCCCCAGUCCUUCAUCUGCUGUCUCCUCAAGCUCUUUUCAGUGUAUUGUGGAGUUCAUUACCACUCUAAGCUCGCACGGAAGUGUACACCAGCUUCGUGAUCUUAAAAGCAAAACAAAAUCAAAUGGACUAGGAAUUAACUUGAAGCAGAGUUGUGACACUUAAGUGGUUUCUUGCCAUCAGUUUCCACGCACUGCUUUAAGAUGCAAUUUUACAAGGUACCACAUGAUGGAAGUCAGUCCAAUCUUUCCUAUCCUGUUUCAUCCACCACCACAAAAUACCUAAGUGACAGCUAUGGGACUAUCUACAGGCAAUACAUACAAGCUGUUGACAAGUUUUUGCAUGGAAAAUGAAGAAGCUGAGACCAUUCACUGCUGUUUCUAAUAGACUUCUCAGAAAGAAUAAGAGAAUAGUAAUCAAAUUGUGGUCAAAGCCAUCUAACAGAGGAUAACAGACCCAGGAAUCAGUUAAAUUCAAGGACUUGAAACAGUUUGCAAAAGCUGCAGCAGGGCAUUUUCCUUUGUGAGGGAAAGCUCCAGGAUCAGUUCUAAAAGACAAAAGAAUAUUAAUACUAAUGUCCCUUUAUCCCCCAGUGCCUUUCCAAGUGCUUAGGUCUCAGUCUCUCUCUCUCUGUCUCUCUCUCUCUAACACUGCCACAAAAUUAAUGUGUCCCAUUCUAGUAACUAUAACCUCUUUCCAAUCAUGCUUCUAAUCUCACCUAAAAUUUUCAUCUGGAACAGUCAGUCAAGAGCAAGAGUGACAAGGGAAUUUUUAUAAAACAUAUAAAAACCCAUUAUGUCCCUCACUUGUGGCUUUUAUGGGUCAGUGUCAGGGGACUAGGUGGAGAGUAUCAACCCAAAGCAGGAUAGUAAGGGCCUGAAUACUAGACAUUGCUUCAUCUCUGGUUUCCCGUGGCAGGUUCUCUGUCUCAGGAAUCUCUUACUGAGAGGGCCAGGUACACUUACAGCAGCCAGCGCCUACUCCAAGAAAACUCGUACUGUCAUCUUCAAAAAGAUCUAAUAUUGGCCUGAUAGAAUUCAGGAGGAGUUGAGCUAUAAGAGGUUGCCAUUGCUGUUGCCAUUCCUCCUUAACAAACAUUGUGCACCUCUCUCCCUCAUCUCCCAAGCUAACAAGCCAAAGUUCUUAAGAUUUGCAAAAUUUCUGUCCAUAGCAGUCCCAAAUCCUCUCCUUUUGCAUUUAGAGGUGCAUAUCUCCGUAACUAUUUUCUGAAAAGGAUCAGAACCUUACUCUAACCCAGAAUGGAUCUUAGUUCUCGUUGUUACAAUGGGAUGGGAGUGACACUGACCAUCAGAUCGACCCUCCUGCCCCCACCUCAAUGAACCUAUUUUCCAGUACUCAGCCUGCAGCCAUCUCCCUAGUUCCUCCUUGGUAGCAGAGAAUGAAAGAGGGGAGGAUCACUUAUUGCUUGAUUGACUAGACAGUUUGAAUAAUAUGGCUGCUACUAAAUCCUACAGACUUCCCUCAAAUUAUCACUGAACUAUUGGAAGGCUCUUGUCUUUCUUAUUCCAGAAAGCCAUGUCUUGUCAGUAUUCCAUCUUUAUUACCAAAAAUGGUAAGAAUAGUAAGAGUCUGUAAUUUUACCUUGCUAGAAAACAAGUUAGCAUGGCACAAAUUCAUAGACACUGGCAGGAGAUAUGAGAUUCCUGGGCCAGGGAUAAAGAACAAUUUAUUAAUCAGAGCAAUAGCAGUAAUCAGAGUAACAACAUUUGUGCUAGUUCUUCAAGCCCUGAUUCCCACAGAGCACACUCAGUGAGUUGCAUUACCCAAGAGCAACCCUAUUUAGGAAACCCCAAUAUUUUCUAAAACCCUUGCUAGAAAACCUUUUCAACCUUUUUCCAGUGGAAGACAUUGUCUUUAUUAUCAUGAACAGCCAACAAACCUGCCUUCUUCCCCAAAGGGAGACACUAUAUUUUCCAAAGCUGUUUGCUAUACAGACAUUCUUGAAAAGACAGUCUAGAAAAAAGCUACGAAUACAAUUGCUCAGAAGAUAUGCAAAAACAGAAGAUCUAUGGAGAAUUAUCUCCCAACACCUCCAUAAAUAUAUUCACACAUAGACCCAAAUGUAAAACCUAAAUCUAUAAAGGUUCUAGAACAAAAUAUAGGAGUAACUUGAGUUACCUUAACAACCAACAAGGUCAGGGGUGGUCCAGAAAGCUUGACCCACAGGGACAGAGACAGGACUUUGGUGAGGCAAGCAGGGCAUCUCCUAUGAAAAAUCUAAGCACUCACUGUUAGGUGCUGAGCCUGCACUUGCAAAACCUGAGAGUGAGCACCUCCUUAAAUUUUUUAUUUUCCUAGUUGGGCUUGCCAUAAUCUCCACACUGCAUCCUUUUCCUUCACUGACACAAAAUCACAGAGAAUGGCAGCUUGUUUUGCUCAAAGCAGCAGUACAGCUUACUUACAUCACAACCUGGACCUGCUACAUUUUCUGUCCUAAGCCCCAUUCAAACCUGGCAGCAUUCCAUGUCACAUUUUAUCUGCUGGAUUAGCAUUUGGAGAUACAGAAUGUAUUGCUUCCACAACCCAAAGAGACCCAUGACAUUAUACUUCCUUCUUUGUAGUAGGACAUGGAUUCUUACUAGGAAUAAUAUCACCCCCAAGGGGGCAAAAAUUGGUAUUUAAUGGUUUAUGUGGUCCUGUAGUCUUCCAAAGGUCACACUACCUAAACAAAUAUACAGUACAUCUGUGCUAUCAAUAUUUCAUGAUGGAGAGGUAAUUAGGGGUAAAAUGUCUAAAAAACUUCCUUACCAGGGCAUUAACAACAAAAAGGUUGAGAAACACUGUAGCAGGAGAAGAUGCAACAACAACCAAAAAAGACAUUUUUUAAAGAGGAUGUCUCUACAUGCCUUUGAUCGUCAGAUCUCUGAAGUAUUUACUGAAGAGGUCUUCCUAUUCCCUGAGACACAACAAUAUUGAAAUAGGGCCAAUUAAUAACCCUACAAUGGUCUGUAAUUGUGCAAGUGGAAGAAAGAAUCGUGUGCCUCUCGCUUUAAAUCAAAAGCUAGAAAUGAUUAAGCUGACUGAGGAAGGCAUGUUUGAAGCUGAAACAGACUGAAAGCAAGUCCUCUUGCACCAAAAGGCCAAGUUGUUAAAGCAAAGGAAAAAUUAUUGAAGUAAAUUAAGUGCUACUCUAGUAAACACAAUUGAUAAGAAAGCAAAACAGCCUUAUUGCUGGUACAGAGAAAGUUUGAGUCGUUUGGGUAGAAGAUCAAACCAGCCACAACAUUCCCUUAAGCAAAAGCCUAAUCCAGAGGGCCCUAACUCUCUUCAAUUCUAUGAAGACUAAGAGAGGUGAGAAAGCUGCAGAAGAAAAGUUGGAAGCUAGUAGAGUUUGGUUCAUGAGGUUUAAGGAAAAAAGCCAUCGCUAUAACGUAACAGGUCAAGAAGGAAGUGUUGAUGUAGAAGCUACAGCAAGUUAUCUGAAAGAUCUAGCUGACUAGAACCCAGACAGGACUCUGACUCAGCCUCCACGCAGACAACAGCAAGGCCAUAGAGAUGGUGGAGCCAUACACCGAAGGAACCUGAGUCACUCUGUGACUGCCCAGAGAAAAGCUGUCCCAUUCACCUGAACUGGACACCUUGGACUAUUAUGUGGAAGGGAAAUAAACUUCUUUGCUCUUUAGGCUGCAUCACUGGAUCUCUUCCCAUGACUUACCCUUUGCCCCAGCUAAUGCAUCUGGGAUUUGGAAAAUGCUCAAUCUAUACUUACUGGAUUUUUUACAUUUUAAAAAAUAAAAAUAGGCUCAUGCCUGUAAUCCCAGUGCUUUGGGAGGCCUAGGCAGGCAGAUCACUUGAGGUCAGGACUUUGAGACCAGCCUGGCCAACAUGGUGAAACCUCGUCUUUACUAAAAAUACAAAACUUAGCCAGGUGUGGUGGCAGGUGCCUGUAAUCCCAGCUACUCAGGAGGCUAAGGCCAGAAAAUCGCUUAAACCCGGGAGGUGGAGGUUGCAGUGAGCUGAGAUCGCACCACAGCACUCCAGCCUAAGCGACAGAAUGAGACCCUGUAACAAAAUAAUAAAAUAAAAUAAAAUAAAAAUAAAACAAAAAGCAAAUAUAAAUAUUAAUUGGAUUCCUAAUAUAGAGAACGGCAUAUGUAGCAUAGCCAAAAAGAACCUAGUCACUAAAAGAGGUAAUGAGCAUGCCCAAAACAAGAGGCUAAUGACAAGAUUAGUGAGAAAUUAUCAGUGGUGAUUAAGUUGGGAAAGUAUUUAUGGCUACUAUUAUAAAGUAUAAAUUUUUUUUCCCAACUCUCAUGUACCUACCCCUUACAAUGAAUAAAUGUUA
rnacentral:lncRNA from 1 species